rnacentral:rRNA from 1 species
AAUUGCUAGUAAUCGCAGAUCAGCAUGCUGCGGUGAAUACGUUCCCGGGCCUUGUACACACCGCCCGUCACACCAUGGGAGUCGGUAACACCCGAAGUCGGUAGCCUAACCGUAAGGAGGGCGCCGCCGAAGGUGGGAUUGAUGACUGGGGUGAAGUCGUAACAAGGUAUC